UCUCUUGUCCCAGAAAACCCUAUAAAAUAAUGCAAAUCAAGUUUAAAUCUUCAUGGUCACUUUAAGAAUACCCCCCAAAACUUUCAGGCCACCAAAGGCAUGAGUAUUUGAAAACCCACAAAGUGAAUAAAAGAUGUCACUUUAAAGUAGUAAUGGCUGUUCUUCUGGUAUUAUAACUGUAAAGUCCAUAGAUGUACCCAGGCCAAACAGUGGGGCUGGGCAUAGGGUUAGUGACCCAAAAAGAAUGAUGAAUUUUUGCUAUACAUGCUUGAAAAUGCAGAGAAUGAUGCUGAACUUAAGUGUUUAGAUGUAGAUUCUUCAGUCAUUGGACAUUGUCAGGUGAACAAAGCACCUAAAACAUGCUAUUGAAUUUACAGAGCUCAAGGCUAGAUUAACCCAGGCAUAAGCUCCCCCUGCCACAUCGAGAUGAUCCUCACUGAAAAGGAACAAAUUGUUCGAAAGCCAGAAGAGAUUUCACAGAAGAAA
rnacentral:lncRNA from 1 species